rnacentral:rRNA from 1 species
AACGAACGCUGGCGGCAGACCUAACACAUGCAAGUCGAGCGAGACCUUCGGGUCUAGCGGCGGACGGGUGAGUAACGCGUGGGAAUAUGCCCUUUGGUACGGAAUAGCCUCGGGAAACUGAGAGUAAUACCGUAUGUGCCCUUCGGGGGAAAGAUUUAUCGCCAAAGGAUUAGCCCGCGUUGGAUUAGGUAGUUGGUGGGGUAAUGGCCUACCAAGCCGACGAUCCAUAGCUGGUUUGAGAGGAUGAUCAGCCACACUGGGACUGAGACACGGCCCAGACUCCUACGGGAGGCAGCAGUGGGGAAUCUUAGACAAUGGGGGCAACCCUGAUCUAGCCAUGCCGCGUGAGUGAUAAAGGCCUUAGGGUUGUAAAGCUCUUUCAGCUGGGAAGAUAAUGACGGUACCAGCAGAAGAAGUCCCGGCUAACUCCGUGCCAGCCGCCGCGGUAA